rnacentral:rRNA from 1 species
CAAUAGCGUAUAUUUAAGUUGUUGCAGUUAAAAAGCUCGUAGUUGGAUUUCUGCUGAUCGCUGUCGGUCUGCCGUCAGGUGUGUACUGGCAGUGUUUGGCAUCUAUUCGAGAUUGGGUGUCCACUUGAUUGUGUGCACUCGAUGUCGGAGCUAAUACUUUGAGAAAAUUAGAGUGUUCCACGCAGGCGCGUGCCUUGAAUACUGCAGCAUGGGAUAUUGGAAGGGCGAUUGAGCUUUCUUGUUGGUUCUCGGUUUGAUCGGAAUGAUUAAUAGGGAUAGUUGGGGGCAUUCGUAUUCAACUGUCAGAGGUGAAAUUCUUGGAUUUGUUGAAGACGGACUACUGCGAAAGCAUCUGCCAUGGAUGUUCUCAUUGA